AAGGCUAUACUUUCAGGGAUCAUUUCUAUAGUUCUUUACUAGAAUAGCUUGACAUUACUCUAAAUAAACCAACAUAUAGCUAAAGCUAUA
rnacentral:snoRNA from 1 species